AGAAUCCGCAGUCAGUGGUGUUGCAGAGGAAUGAAUCCAGACAACCGUCCACUCGGAGGAAUAAAAAGAGGGAAGCUGACGUGGGAACACAAAAACUGGCUACAGAAUUUAGCUGACAAGUAUGGAGGAAGAAAUGAAGUCUGACAUUUGAAAACGUCCGAGUACAAUACAUACUAAAACACUGCUCCAGAAAUAAAAGAAAACACCAAAUAAGUGACUCGGUAAUACAUUCGAUAGAGUUCAACUACUUCUCUAAGUUUAAGUUUUAAACUCCAACAGAAACGUAUAACAGUAAUAGUGCUUGAAGGGACAGACUUCACUUUUCAACGCCUGAUGAACUUCAAGAAAUAAGCACUGAAUCACAAUUCUUAUUAACCAACAAAUUCAAGUUCUAAAAUCAACAGUAUCUUUUUUAUGCUGUUCACUGAAUUGGCGCCGGUGACAGUAACCAAUUGAUUAAUUAAAUGGUUGCCAGGCAACGAAACAGCAGCGGAUAUUUAGAGCUUGCGCACUAAUCGUUCUGGGCUGAAAUACUUGCACGACCCUGAAGAAGGAGGCAAGAAAUGCUCCCGAAAAGUUGAAAUAUUUGAUCAAUUUGACACUCUGCGACACGGAGAACACUGUGCAGCCAAUACGGAGAUCCGUGAGAACCUUAAAUUGCACGCUGUACUCUGCGCAUGGAACGGCAUGUGAGCUUCGCCUCUUCACGUAGCACUUCGCAAAGUUUAAUACUUCUCCUUGCACUAUACUUUAUUUUUUAUCUUGUCAGCUCUUAAAGCGCUGGCAGAAUCGAUUUCAAGCCAGUUGCAAAGUUUGAAGAGCCUUAGACACAAACAGACUUCCACUUAUACAGGUUAUAGGCAUGUUUAGAGUUACGCUUCAAAUAAAUCCCGGAGUGCCCAAGUUCGAAUUAUUACAUUAAAGGAAGUGGAUCAGGAAAGUUACGCAGACAGACAGAUGAUACUCGCCAUUUCAGAGGAAUUUUAAUGACAGAAUUCUCAGUGCUUGUCGAAUAUCUACGAACCAAAACGUAAUUGUUAUGGCUAUAAGAAUACAAAAGUUAUAAAAUGUUAGAUAUAACAUUUAUAAGCUGAAACUUAAACUUUCUCAAGCUAAAAUAUGUUUAGAAGAGAGUGUUCGUAUGUUUGCAUUCGGUGACCAAUCCAUAGCAGCUGUCACAUUGUUCUGAAAGUAUCCGACCAUUCACCAGUAUUCUGUAUAUUUGCUCUUACAUCCUUGAUACUGCUUAGUUGAUUUCAUACACUGUAAGAAUUCGCAGGAUAUGAUUUAUAUACUGAACACAGAUUUCUGUAGGCGUGUGAUUUAAGUAUGUAUUAAAUAUAUAGUUCUUAUGCUAUUACGAUAACGUGGAAAUUGAGUAUAAAUAAUUAUGUAUGAAGUAAGGAUAUGAGAUUACAUUUCAUGUUAAACAUUUUAUCAUCCAUUUCAUAUUUAUGUAACGCCUGCAGCAUUUAUAUGAAGGAGCUCUUGUGGAAUCAUACAUAAAACAAGUGCUAUCUCUUCCUAGCUCGAUGUAUCAUCGCUAGAUACAUUUUACGUCAAGAAAAAUCUCUAAAUAAAUUAUGUUCCAAAGCAAGGUAAUAUCUUCAGCUGUUAAGAGUAAGUUGGUAGCUGAAUACACACCAACAUUCUCAGGUCUGGCUACUUUACAUGUCAAAACGCUGCUACGAGAGAAAAAUAAAUAAGAACUCCGCAUCCAUUUCCCUGGAUGACAAUUUAUCUUAGAACCCUUAGAGCGUGGCUUGGGAUUGUUCUCUCAGCCUUUCCCACAUGUGGUUGAAUAUUAAAAUAUACUUCAUUACGUCAUGACACGCGAAAUCAUCCGCUGCACCACUGCGUGUUUUGCAUAAAUGCAUAGUGUAACAGCGAAGUAGGCCUACACACUUACUUGUGAUGUUGUUUUUCUUGGCUGUGAUGUCAAAUUAAUUCAUAGGCAGUCACAGCGUUUCAGAAGUAAAUCAGAUCUCUCAAAUAAGCUAUUUGAUCAAACAGGCCAGAAAUCCACAGUGUAUCCGGCCAGACAGUUUUUUUAGACACGCGUUCUGAAAUUGUUAGCUGACUGAAACCGGCCGUAAGUGACGCGACUUUAAACUAGCAGUAGACCCACCUUCAUGUCAAGUUAUGCACUGUGCAAUGCUACAGAGCUCACGGGUAAUUUUGUCGGGUCUUUAUACACUCACCUUGUUCAUAUUUUUAAAAUUAACCAAUUCCAGAGGAAACAGAAUUUAUGUGAAUAGUUUAUAAAGUAACAUUCAUAUUAAAUACUGCCAUAGUCCUCUACUGAAUGUAACAUUUUCCUUAUUAUAAUAUACGUUUCUAAACAAGAGUCUGCUAAUUAAAAGGUUAUAAAAG